rnacentral:lncRNA from 1 species
AUCUUCUACUGACCUGUAGACCCUGCAACGAAUUGUAAAUAUUAAAAGGACUUCCAAUAUCAAUACUCAGGUAGUAGAAUCAUAAAUUGAGAAAUUACAAGGUGUUAUCAUAUAUUUACCUUGUCCAGCAACAACUUACUUCUUUCUCGGCCUGUUCGGAUCCAAGGAGGUAAUGUACUAAGGAUAAUUUCUCUUCUAGUGCUCUUGCUUCUUGCAGUGGAAGCAUUCUAUCUGAC